UACGUAGGGUGCAAGCGUUAAUCGGAAUUACUGGGCGUAAAGCGUGCGCAGGCGGUUAUGCAAGACAGAUGUGAAAUCCCCGGGCUCAACCUGGGAACUGCAUUUGUGACUGCAUGGCUAGAGUACGGUAGAGGGGAUGGAAUUCCGCGUGUAGCAGUGAAAUGCGUAGAUAUGCGGAGGAACACCGAUGGCGAAGGCAAUCCCCUGGACCUGUACUGACGCUCAUGCACGAAAGCGUGGGGAGCAAACAGG
rnacentral:rRNA from 1 species